UGAGUAAUGCUUGGGAACUUGCCUUCAGGAGGGGGAUAACAGUUGGAAACGACUGCUAAUACCGCAUAACGUCUACGGACCAAAGGGGGCUUCGGCUCCCACCUGAAGAGAGGCCCAAGUGAGAUUAGCUAGUUGGUAAGGUAAAGGCUUACCAAGGCGACGAUCUCUAGCUGUUCUGAGAGGAAGAUCAGCCACACUGGGACUGAGACACGGCCCAGACUCCUACGGGAGGCAGCAGUGGGGAAUAUUGCACAAUGGGGGAAACCCUGAUGCAGCCAUGCCGCGUGUGUGAAGAAGGCCUUCGGGUUGUAAAGCACUUUCAGUUGUGAGGAAAAGUUAGUAGUUAAUACCUACUAGCCGUGACGUUAACAACGGAAGAAGCACCGGCUAACUCCGUGCCAGCAGCCGCGGUAAUACGGAGGGUGCGAGCGUUAAUCGGAAUUACUGGGCGUAAAGCGCACGCAGGCGGUUUGUUAAGCUAGAUGUGAAAGCCCCGGGCUCAACCUGGGAUGGUCAUUUAGAACUGGCAGACUAGAGUCUUGGAGAGGGGA
rnacentral:rRNA from 1 species